AGCGCGGCUGGAACCCGGCCGACAGAAGAUGGCGGAUGAGCAGCGUGCAGGGUUUUCUCCCUGUGGCUCACUCUCUCUUACUGUGCUGGGCGGUUGCUUCCUCUCCUGCUGCCCUUGGGAGUCAGACUCCAGGUUCUUCAGCCUGUGGCCCCUGGGGCUCUCGGGCCUUGGAGGACUGACUAGGAGCACACGGUGGGCCUCUCUGGUUUGGGGGCCUGGGACGUGGCGGAGCCCUGCAGCUUCUGUGCGGCCUGUUCUGGGCGUCGCGUUGAAACGCCAGCCAGUUCCCCAAUCCCCCUGGGAUUACAGGAGUGUUGAAGAAAUGUUGUGACACAUCAGAACACCGCGAAAUACAUGGACACUUUCAAAUCAUGGAAGACUCAAGGACAAAGAAGACAGAAAAUACUACACACUACCCAGAGAUUGAAACUGAAGGUGUGAACAACAGAGAAAAGAGAGGGCAAAGAAAAGGAAAACAAAGAAGACGUGGGAUAUGAAAGGUGUAUGCCAUGUGUGGACAUCAAGAAAUGUUUCAGCUCGCACUUCUGCCACCAAUUGAGCCUGGAACCUCACUACUUGGAGUUGGGGGGAGGGCAGUGCUCAUUCAUCACCUGUGAAAAUAGGGAUUGAGAGUUCCCUAACUUUGCCAUUUUUCCUCAAGCACUGGCAUUGGUCUUCUGAAUGUCAGGCUCUGUAUAAGUGAGUCCUCAGCUGAGCCACAGGCUCUGCAUUCCUGGCAGUCCACACACUUCAUAUCCUUUGUUUAUGCUGCUCAUUUUGGAAUUCAAACAGGUUGGUGGGGCACAUUUCAACAGAUAAUGACACACACUGACUGCUCAUGAGCUAUUUUAUGGUGUGAGAAUGUUGUGAUGUUAUGAAAUGCGGAGGCAUUAAAACAUGGGGACAUUUUCUAGAAGAUCCUUAGCAGAGAGUACAGAAGACUAAGGUCCAAAUCUCUGAAAUGAUGUUUUCCAAAUUAUUGCACAGCUAUGUCAAAGUACCUUGAUCCAGUUAAUGUUAACAAAUAAAAAAUUAUGAAAUGUUAUUUUCUAGGUAUGGAUAGUAGUGGAUAGUAGUAGAUCUGUUGUGUAGUGGAGAUUACUUAGGAAGAAUAAAUUUCAACUUUACCAAGAAAGUACUACAUUAAUUGCAUUAGGGAAUUGUGAAUUGCAUUAGGAAAAUGCUCAUUCUUCUUUCAAUAGCCAAUAUCUGGAUACUAUACUCUCUUGAAUUUCUAAGAUUUGCAUCCAAUAUUCUAUAAUUAGCUUUCCAGUUUAUUGAAUGAUUUAAUUUACAUACAAAUAUUUUCUAAUAUAUUCCCUGUAAAAUAGUUUAAAAAAUUAAACGUUUCUCUAAUUACACAUUCCUCCCUAGCUGAUACAAUUUCAUUUAUUUGCUUACUUUCCCAGCUGGACAUUCAGAAAUUUUUUACUCAUAUUGUCUUCAAUUGCAUAUUUGCCAGUUUCUAGCUUUUAUUUUAUUUUUUAUAUCCAUUUUGUUCUAGGUGUGGAAAUUGCUAAGUGUAGAGCUUAAUAAUAUUUCACCAGAAAGAUAUGUGUCUAACUCCCUCAUGAAGAAAUAGUAUGUUACCAACACUCCCAAAUUUCCUUUGAUGUCAAAAAGCAUUAUUUUUCUCGAGUCUUUUUUUGUGUUGGUAUGAUAUAUAAACGAAAUCAUAUACACAUUUAUUUUUUCAUUUAGAUACUUUCCUUCAGUAUUAUGAUUGAGACAUUAACCUCAGUUUAAGUAUUUAUGUCAUUUUCAUUGCUAGUUCAUUGUAAGAAGCACACCUUUUAUUUAUCUAUUCCCUUAAUACAUAUUCCUGUUUCCAGUGUUAGAUUAAUGCAAAUAAGGCUAUCGUGAGCAUUCUUUUACAUGUUUUUCAGUGUACAAAUAUAUGCUGAGAGAGGAAUUACUGAAUCACAGAAAGCAGUAUAUGCAGCUAUAAUAGAUAUUACCAUAUCCACCAAA
rnacentral:lncRNA from 1 species